AGGCAGCAGGCGGGCCCUAAAGCUGUGGUGAUGGCGGGAAAAGUACAGGUUCACUGUCGUUUUUCACAGCAUUAACCCUCUAACGGGAUCACUCUGGGAGGGCUGGAGCGGGAAGCGACUGGCAGACUGUCUAUGGAGAGAUGGGCGAGAUGAGGCUAUGAAGGGAGUGAUGGAAGGAAGGAGAAGGAGAAAUGGAUGGCCUUGUUUCUGGAUAUGGAUCUUAGUCUGACAAUAUGAUGGCCUCGGGCCGGCUGGAGAGCAGAGCCACGCAGACCAAAAGGAGGGAAGAAUUACUUCUUCCACAUCUUGGGAUUUCUCAGACCGAGGAAGUGUCAGUCUUUUUUCCAAGAUGAGGGUUUCUUUGCUGUCUCUGGAAGAUCAGUGUCAGGCCCCCCACAAUCCACAGAUUCAAGCUCUGGGUCGCAUUCAGCUUCAGGCUCAGGCUCAGGAGCAGCUGAUGAUGUACUUGGUAGCUCCUCCAGCUCUGUGCAGAACUUCUUCUCCUUCUCAAAGGCUUUCUGUUGCUGGACAGUGAUCUCCUCUGCCUGCAAAGACAUGACAUUCUGCUGCUGUUGUAACUCAAACUGCAGCGCCUCCACCUGCUGUCUUGCAGCGAGGACAUCGGUCUCAUACCGGAGGUUCAGUUCAUGUUGUGAAACUUUAAGUCUCUCCACUUCCUCCUGCAGACUCUUGUUUUUCUCCAUCUCUCUUUGGAGCUCAGCUGCAGACUCCUCGUCACGUUUCAGGAGAGCAACUUUCAGCUCUUCAUAAUCAGUAAAAAAGCUGCUUCUU